rnacentral:lncRNA from 7 species
CAAGAUAAGAAUAAGUGAAUACAGGGCCUUUAGCGGGCGGGCUCGGGCCUGGGCCGUUUCCGCGCACCUCGGGUUUAUGCAUCCUGAUGGCUGUCCGUAGAUGAGCGGGUAACGUCAAAGAACAGUAAAGGACAGUUCAUCGUUUGUGGUGGACGAAAAACACCGCAAGCCCGGAGUAAAAUAACAAAAGGUCAAAAAAUGGUUCGCUGCCGUGCGCGCCAGAGUGCCGCGCGGCACGCAGGUACAAGUCCCCGGUGGCUUACUCUUGACCGUUCCGUUAGCUGCGCUGUCGUGUCCCGACCGACCAUGCGUACCACCGGCACGAGUUCAAACCGUCCAGCCAACCACCAUAACUGCCCGGAAUUCGCCAUGGAGAGCGACGCGCGCGAAAAAAAAAAAAACCCACACCGGCCAUCGCCAUACGACACGGCACAUCGCGUUCGCGUUCUCUCCCACGCGACCGACGCGCGACGCCGACCACGGCGAGGUGUCCGCCCCCAC